rnacentral:lncRNA from 1 species
CCGCGAGUCCAGCAGCGACUCCAGAUCUGGGGAAGCUCAGCCGGAGCCGUCCAGCUCACCUCCGGCCACCGUGCGCCCCCGCCUUAGCCCGCCGGAGCUUCGCCUUGCCUCCGCCGCCCUUGGCCGCCUCAACCGGCGCCGGAUCCGCCCAUUCUCGGCCUCAAACCGCCAUGGACAGCAGCUGCAGAAAAUGGGUAUGGCAGCCCCUUCUUGGCCCGUUUCGGCCGCCUUCCCGAGCCCGGAUGCUCGGCCCGCCUUGAGGAAAGUCGAUCCUCGCGUCGUCCUCGUCGUUUUGGUUCGCUCGGCUCACUAAUCCGGUGAGUUUAGCUCACUAAACCUCGCUUAGAGGGUUAAUUAUGCUUAGGGAGGUUUAGUUUAUGUUAAGUAUUAUUAGGUUGUUAGUUUAGGUUAAUUAAGAGUGGAUUUGAUUAAGGUUGUGGUUUAAUUUAAAGUGUGCUUAAUUAAGGGUAAGUAGGUUUAUUUAAAAUAAGC